UACAGAGGGCGCGAGCGUUAAUCGGAAUUACUGGGCGUAAAGCGUGCGUAGACGGUUAUGUAAGUCGGAUGUGAAAGCCCCGGGCUCAACCUGGGAAUGGCAUUCGAGACUGCAUAGCUAGGAUGCGGAAGAGGGAAGUGGAAUUUCCGGUGUAGCGGUGAAAUGCGUAGAUAUCGGAAGGAACAUCAGUGGCGAAAGCGACUUCCUGGUCCAGCAUCGACGUUCAGGCACGAAAGCGUGGGGAGCAAACAGG
rnacentral:rRNA from 1 species